GUCUCUCACAGUGGAAAUGCACCUAUGCUGAAAAUUGUAGACCCCUCCAUGAUUUCUAAGUAAGAGAACUUGCAAAAUCACAGGGUGAUCAAAUACUUAUUGACCUCACUGUAUAUCGAACCAGGCAAUUGGCUUGUCAGCUGAAUGAGGUUUGUUUGAGCAUGUUAAUCCGCAAACUGUGUCGUAGACUGGCCUUCUUGGAUUGGAAUUGGGGAAGCCCGAUUUAAGAUCAUAUUUUCUGAAUAUGGGCAGUGGUGCCCAACUAGGCUAGACACCUAACAGUUAUUUGGGGAACUGACUUGAUUUGGUUUUUGAAGACCUCAGUGUAAUCCUGAGUUUAAGAUACAGCUAUUGAACUUUUCAUAAGAAUUUACCCUUCCAGAACUCCAUUACCCAGAACAAUGUGGUAGCUAGUCAACUUGCCAUUGGUCAUCUAAACCUCCCAGCAGGCUUUUUUGGCCCCAGAAUCCUUCUGUGGUCUGUUUCUCUCCCAAGGCGAUGCCUUCAGGUAGCAGAACGUAAGUCAUGAAUGACUUACGUUCUGCAUCUGGCUGCCAUAUAUCUUCAACUGAUUGGGACCUGCCUAAUGAAAGACUCCCUGCGGCCCAAUGAGGGUAACUGAUUGUCUUCCGGCUGGGAUUAUUGUGUGAUCAGUGGAGGACUGCUGUUUGCUUACUCACCACACUGUGCCAGUCCCAGGGAAAACAGAUGGAGCUUAUAAAGCAUCAAAGACAAAACAUGUGGUUUAUUCAAGUUGCCAUAAAAUGUCUAAUUGAUUCAUGUGACAGCCAAUCAUAUAAAAAUGCUGCUCAUAAAGGGUAUGUGAAACACUUAGAGAACUGGAUGUGUUGGCCAAUCAGAAUAUCUUCAUUCCUGUAAUGUCAUUAUUUUGCCUGCCUGAAAAACACAAUAGGAAAAUCUUCAAAAGGAUAAGGAGCUCAGAGAUCAGAGAAGCGGGAAAUUGAGUGAAUUGCAUUCUCAUAUGUUUUUUCAUUUUGGGAAUAAUACUGUGCUGAGAGGCAUAUCCAGCCUGACACUGACUCCAGAUACGACCCAUAUUGGAACAGGAAACAAAGAGCAAAAGAGACAUUCAUGGAUGCAUGACUGAGGAUUUUUAGUGACAUCAGCAGUUCUGACAAGAAUGUGAAGGUGCUGACAUCAUCCUCUCAGUGUCACCCGGGUUUCCUAGAAGAGAGGCAGGUUAUCCUGGGGCUGCACGUCUUCUGAGAUCAUCGGUGCACUCACUCAAAGUACCAUAUGCUGAUGUAUGAGUGUUUCUAUUCAGAAAAUCCCCAGUAAUCUGGUAGAGGGUUUAUUAUGUACACCUGCUAAAUGCACACUGCCUCGUUCUCCAGACAGAGAAUCAUGUGGCUGUAAUUUGAGUCCCACUCAAAGUUCAAAAAGCAAUGCAGCAGAUAAGAAGCGGUGUGAUUAUUGGUGCCACGCGGUUCUUGCACCUCAGAAAUAGCCAUUUCACACACCACAGUGUCCAGAAUUUAUGGAGAAUGGUGUGAUGAUCAAAAAAUCAAGUCGAUGGCAUUUCUGUGGCCAGAAGAUUGUCAAUGACAGAGGCCAGAGGAGAAUGGGCAGACAUUUUAAAGUUAAAAUUUAGUACAAGUCAGUAUGGCAGUGAUGUGCUGAAUACCUCAUUUACCUUCAAGGAGGUUCUAGAUCCUGCCCGGAAGCAGAUAAUUAAAGAGGUGGCCACAGAGUGUGUAUUUGUCUGUGGUGAAGCUGCACCAUCAGUGAAGCUGCACCUUCUCCCUGAAUAGACGUGGCUGUCAGCUCUCCUUCCACACACACUGAUCAGACUGCGAUCGCAGGCCGGCUGCAAAGACCCUCUCCCUUGGAUCUCUUUGCCAUCAACCAGCCCCUGGGUGUGGACCGGUUUGUCCAUCUGCCUGACCCAGUCUGGGCUCCUGAUUCUUUUUCUGUCCAUUUUCCAUCUCUCUCUUUCUCUUCCCCUCUCUCUCUCCCUCUCUCCUUCUUUCUCCCACUCCCGAAUAGGCCGAUAUGGUCACCCAUGUGUCUGAGUACUUUUGCAGGCUCCAGCUCCCAUGAUUCAUAUGUUACCCUCCUCCCAAGUCCGUUCCCCUCCCGUUUUCCACGAUGGAUGCCCGUUUGCCAGUGAUUCCCUCCGUGGCUCCGCCCCCGUCACCGUGGUUGCACAGCUGAUUUGCAGUGUUCCGGAAUGUGGCUGCUCUCCGCCCCCUUGGGGACUGGGAGGACUGGGAGACAUGCUGGCUCAUCAGCCCUGGCUGGUCCCUCACUAACUGCCAAGCUGUAACACCAGCAGCAUCACUGCUGUUCUCUGAAAAGAAGAGCGGAGCAGGGAUAGUUGCCGGAAGCGGAGGAAGCUGCGGAUUAUCGGUCCUCCGCGCGGCAGGAGCCAGAGCGUGGCAGAUGGGCAGACGUCCUGGCAUAUUGAAACAGCCUCUCGCUACAUCUCCACUCAAUCAAACAGAUGGGCUCACUCAGCCUGCCUGGUAGCACCACACCACUGAGGACACUUCAGCUGAGGCCUAAGAGUCAGGCCGUGUUCCCCAGCCAGGCACCAAAGCACCAGCUCUCCAGU